rnacentral:rRNA from 1 species
CCCUUGAGUAAAGUGGCGACCGGGUGAGUAACACGUGACUAACCUACCCUCGAGUGUGGAAUAACAUCGGGAAACCGAUGCUAAUACCGCAUAACAUCGCAAGAUCAAAGGAGCAAUCCGCUUGAGGAGGGGGUCGCGGCUGAUUAGCUAGUUGGCGGGGUAACGGCCCACCAAGGCGAAGAUCGGUAGCCGGCCUGAGAGGGCGCACGGCCACACUGGAACUGAAACACGGUUCAG